rnacentral:rRNA from 1 species
AAGAAAUUAAAUAAGAGCAUUUGGUGGAUGCCUUGGUGUUGGUAGGCGAUGAAAGACGUAAUAAACUGCGAUAAGCUUUGGGGAGCUGUUAAUAAGCUUUGAUCCGAAGAUGUCUGAAUGGGGAAACCCACCCGCAAGGGUAUCUAUAAUUGAAUACAUAUGUUAUAGAGGCGAACCUGGAGAACUGAAAUAUCUAAGUAACCAGAGGAAAGGAAAUCAACCGAGACUCCCUUAGUAGUGACGAGCGAAGAGGGACCAGGCCAAUGUUGCUUGCAUAAUAAUUAGAACAGAUUGGAAAAUUUGACCAUAGAGGGUGACAGUCCCGUAUAAGUAAAAAGUGCGAGCAAAUACGAGUAGGGCGAGGCACGUGAAACCUUGUCUGAAUAUGGGGGGACCAUCCUCCAAGCCUAAGUACUCACCAACAACCGAUAGUGAACUAGUACUGUGAAGGAAAGGUUAAAAGAACCCCGAUAAGGGGAGUGAAAUAGAACCUGAAACCGAAUGCUUACAAACAGUCAGAGCAGACAAAUUUAUUUGUUCUGUGAUGGCGUACCUUUUGCAUAAUGGGUCAGCGAGUUAAUGUAUAAAGCAAGCUUAAGCCGAUAGGUGGAGGCGAAGGGAAACCGAGUCUGAAUAGGGCGAAUUAGUUUUAUGCAUUAGACCCGAAACUAGAUGAUCUAAUCAUGGUCAGGUUGAAAGUGUAGUAACAUACGCUGGAGGACCGAACUUGUUAAUGUUUCAAUAUUAUAAGAUGAACUGUGACUAGGGGUGAAAGGCUAAUCAAAUCUAGAUA